AAGGAAAAAAGAAGAAAACAGAGGUUAUGGAAAAUGUUCUUGGUGGUUACCUUUUUAAUUAUUAUCCCAGGUAUUUUCUUCUCUUUCGCC
rnacentral:ribozyme from 15 species